GUAAGGGAAUUUAGGGUUUCUGAGGAGCGGUGCAAAUGAGGUGAUUAAGACGAGUGUGGAUUCAAUAAUCUUUAUUGUGAUGAGGUUUGAUAUAGGUAGAGUAGAAGUGGUCGGGUGAGAGUAUAAGUUGAGUGGAAGUUGUGUAGGCUAGGGCAAGGUCAUAGGAUCCGAGUAGACGAGGCAGAUUGAGUGUUCUGGAGCAAGGAAGAAGUUGUAAUAAGGUCGGUGUGUGUGGGUGGCCAUUACAGGCCGCGUGUGACUGUGUAAACGAGCGGCUUAGGUUGACGUCUGGUAUAUACGCAUAGGGUAGACACUGGCCGGGGAUUAUAAGUAUUGAGUGGUUGAAUGUAGGUGGUUUGGUGUGUGUGUGUGUGUGUGUGUGGCUCCCGAAGAGUCAUGACGCGGUCCGUGUGCAUGUGUGGCCAUUACAGGCCUAGUGUGACAAUGUAAGUGAACAUUGCAGUGUGGCAUCUGGUGUGUGCGUGUGUGGCAGAGACUGGCCAAGCAUGGUAGGG
rnacentral:lncRNA from 1 species